UUGGCGUGCAGGGCAGGCCACCUGCUGCCCGCGCGGACGUGACUGCGCAGUGGCCUGCCCGAACCCCUGCCGGCUUUGAGUAUGGGGCAGCGGGAAAGGCGUGUAUGCGUCUCCCAGCCGAGCUCCCACCGGUCCUGUGGCUGCACCACCACCGCUGCUACUGUGUGAACCUCCAGCCAGCCUCUUCUCUUCUAGUCUCUUCUCCUGGUGGCCUUUUUGAUAAAACUGACAGUAUAAAUACUUUGCAUAUUUUAGAGGGAGCUAAAAGCCCUCCUCCUGUACAUGCAGCGGACAUUUGUACAAAUAAGGGGUCACAGAAGCUCUGCUCUCACGCCACACAAGUAACUUCACGUCCUUGAUUUAGUCCAAAAAUUACGGUUUGGUAAGUCAGAUUUCAAUGAUGUCAGUUACUGUUAUAAAAUGACAUAAGUAUUAACUUACCUACUUAUCUUCUAUUUUUUUUUUUACAUCCUCACUUUUUUAUACUUAUAUAUACACUCACCGAAGAUCAGGACCUUCUUAACCUGUUUCUGAAAGUAAUAUGUGUAUCACAUAACGUGUUUCGUUUGUUAUAUAAGCUGUAAUGUAAUGUAUGCUUUUGUACUGCAUGUGAACUUGAAAUUUAAUAAAGUUCUUUAGAAAACCUCUAA